ACGAACGCUGGCGGCGUGCUUAACCCAUGCAAGUCGAACGGAAAGGCCCUGCUUGCAGGGUACUCGAGUGGCGAACGGGUGAGUAACACGUGGGUGAUCUGCCCUGCACUUCGGGAUAAGCUUGGGAAACUGGGUCUAAUACCGGAUAGGAACCAUCUUUAGUGUGGUGGUUGGAAAGUUUUUUCGGUGUAGGAUGAGCUCGCGGCCUAUCAGCUUGUUGGUGGGGUAAUGGCCUACCAAGGCGGCGACGGGUAGCCGGCCUGAGAGGGUGUACGGCCACAUUGGGACUGAGAUACGGCCCAGACUCCUACGGGAGGCAGCAGUGGGGAAUAUUGCACAAUGGGCGCAAGCCUGAUGCAGCGACGCCGCGUGGGGGAUGAAGGCCUUCGGGUUGUAAACUCCUUUCGCUAGGGACGAAGCUUUGUUGUGACGGUACCUAGAUAAGAAGCACCGGCUAACUACGUG
rnacentral:rRNA from 1 species